rnacentral:rRNA from 1 species
UACGGGGGGAGCAAGCGUUGUUCGGAUUUACUGGGCGUAAAGGGCGCGUAGGCGGCGCGACAAGUCACUUGUGAAAUCUCCGGGCUUAACCCGGAGCGGCCAAGUGAUACUGUAGUGCUAGAGUGCGGAAGGGGCUACUGGAAUUCUCGGUGUAGCGGUGAAAUGCGUAGAUAUCAGGAAGAACACCAAUGGCGAAAGCAGCUCUCUGGGACGGUACUGACGCUGAGACGCGAAAGCGUGGGGAGCGAACAGG